UUUUGAUGCAUCAGAAAAGAAAAUACAUUUAUAUCUAUUAACUAGAAGGGGCAGAACUGGGAUUAUAAAUAACUUUGAAGCAUGGACUAAAUGAAACUACUGUUCAUUAAUGAGGUCUUAUCUUACUUCGGAGUACAAUAUAUUUUGUGGAAACUUAAUGUAGAGCAGAUCGACCUCUGAUUGGAAGAUCUCUGGUUCGCUUCCUGUUCUGCUCAUGUGUUUGAAGUGUCCUUGGUCAAGACACUAAACCCCAAACUGCUUCUGGUGGUUAUAGGUUGGCGCCAUCUAUGUGUGAAUAUAUGUGUGUGCUCAAGACUGACCGUAAAGCGCUUUGGCCUUUCUAAGGAGGUAGUAAACUGCAAUAUAAAGAUACGCUUUUUUUUUUUUUUUUUUACAUUUUUGUCAUGGAUCACUUGUUCCCAGCAUCCUUUUUCUAAAGUCAAUGAAAGUGAAAAAAUAUUUUAUCCUUAAACUUGACCCCUUCUAACAGAAUAACAUUUUACUACUGUGACAUUAACUGUAGAGUAAAUGAAAGCUGUUUACUCUGCUGUUGAGACCUUCACAGGAUGUUCUUGUGCUGCUGAUAUUUUUUCAGUUAUUUUGUAAUUGCACCUUUAAUAAGACUAGCAUCAUCUUA